rnacentral:rRNA from 1 species
CAGCCGCCGCGGGAAUACGAAGGGGGCUAGCGUUGUUCGGAAUCACUGGGCGUAAAGCGCACGUAGGCGGACACUUAAGUCAGAGGUGAAAUCCCAAGGCUCAACCUUGGAACUGCCUUUGAUACUGGGUGUCUUGAGGUCGAGAGAGGUGAGUGGAACUGCGAGUGUAGAGGUGAAAUUCGUAGAUAUUCGCAAGAACACCAGUGGCGAAGGCGGCUCACUGGCUCGAUUCUGACGCUGAGGUGCGAAAGCGUGGGGAGCAAACAGGAUUAGAUACCCCAGUAGUCCCUGUCUCUUAUAC